UACGGGGGGGGGCAAGCGUUGUUCGGAAUUACUGGGCGUAAAGGCUCGUAGGCGGCCAACUAAGUCGGACGUGAAAUCCCCAGGCUCAACCUGGGAACUGCGUCUGAUACUGGAUGGCUUGAAUCCGGGAGAGGGAUGCAGAAUUCCAGGUGUAGCGGUGAAAUGCGUAGAUAUCGGGAGGAACACCCGUAGCGAAGGCGGCACUCUGGGCCGGAACUGACGCUGAGGAGCGAAAGCGUGGGGAGCAAACAGGAUUAAGAA
rnacentral:rRNA from 1 species